AUUGAACGCUGGCGGCAGGCCUAACACAUGCAAGUCGAGCGAGCGGCGGACGGGUGAGUAAUGUGUGGGAAACUGCCUGAUGGAGGGGGAUGACUACUGGAGACGGUAGCUAAUACCGCAUACCAUCAGAUGUGCCCAGAGGGGAUUAGCGAGUAGGUGGGGUAACGGCUCACCUAGGCGACGAUCCCUAGCUGGUCUGAGAGGAUGACCAGCCACACUGGAACUGAGACACGGCCCAGACUCCUACGGGAGGCAGCAGUGGGGAAUAUUGGACAAUGGGCGCAAGCCUGAUGCAGCCAUGCCGCGUGUGUGAAGAAGGCUUUCGGGUUGUAAAGCACUUUCAUCGGGGAGGCGUUACCCGCAGAAGAAGCACCGGCUAACUCCGUGCCAGCCGCCGCGGUAAUUC
rnacentral:rRNA from 1 species